GCCCGCGUGGCUCAACUGGAUAGAGCACCGGUCUUCGGAACCGGGGGUUGCAGGUUCGAGUCCUGCCGCGGGUACCA
rnacentral:tRNA from 1 species